CUCCACCCUGCACAAAGAAUAAACAAAAACGGAACCGGUACAACGACCCCCCAAAUCCCUCCACCCUGCACAAAGAAUAAACAAAAACGGAACCGGUACAACGACCCCCCCCCAAAUCCCUCCACCCUGCACAAAGAAUAAACAAAAACAGAACAGGUACAACGACCCCCCCAAAUCCCUCCACCCUGCACAAAGAAUAAACAAAAACAGAACAG